AACCAAAUUCGUAGAUAGCUGGUUUUCCGCGAAAACUAUUUAGGUAGUGCGUUGAGUAAAUUGAUGUUUGGAGGUAGAGCACUAAAGGGGCUAGGGGAGAGAAAUCUUUACCAACCCUCAUAAAACUCCGAAUGCCAAACAUUUUACCUCAGCAGACAGACUGUGGGUGCUAAGGUCCAUGGUCGAAAGGGAAAAAGCCCAGAUCACCAGAUAAGGUCCCUAAAUCAUGAUUAAGUGUGAAAGGAUGUGGAGAUUCCUAAACAGCCGGGAGGUUGGCUUAGAAGCAGCCAUCCUUUAAAGAUAGCGUAACAGCUCACCGGUCUAAUAGAGUUUCUGCGCCAAAGAUGUAACGGGGCUCAAAUCAUAUACCGAAUCUGUGGAUUUAUAAUUUCUUCGGAAAUUAUAUCUGGUAGCGGAACGUUCUGUAAGCCUGUAAAGGGAUACCCGUGAGGGAUCCUGGAGGUAUCAGAAGUGCGAAUGCUGACAUAAGUAACGAUAAAAGAAGUGAAAAACUUCUUCGCCGAAAAUCCAAGGGUUUCUGCGCAAGGUUAAUCCGCGCAGAGUUAGUCGGCACCUAAGGCGAGGGCGAAAGCCGUAGUCGAUGGAAAUAAGGUUAAUAUUCCUUAACCAGAUGGUAGUGACGGAUCUUGUAAGUUGUGAGUUCUUAAUGGAUUGAGCUUGCCGCGAAAAGGUUCCAAGAAAUAGCUCCAUCAUUAGACCGUACCCUAAACCGACACAGGUGGAUUAAUAGAGUAUAUUUAGGCGCUUGAGAGAAUGAUGUUGAAGGAACUCGGCAAAAUGCUUCCGUAACUUCGGAAUAAGGAAGACCUGUUUUUAGGCAACUAGAGAUGGGUGGCACAAGCCAGGGAGAAGCGACUGUUUAUCAAAAACACAGGGCUCUGCUAACACGUAAGUGGAUGUAUAGGGUCUGACGCCUGCCCGGUGCUGGAAGGUUAAUGCGAUGGGUGCAAGCUCAUUUCUGAAGCCCCAGUAAACGGCGGCCGUAACUAUAACGGUCCUAAGGUAGCGAAAUUCCUUGUCGGGUAAGUUCCGACCUGCAUGAAUGGCGUAACGAUUUCUCCGCUGUCUCCAACAUCAACUCAGUGAAAUUGAAUUCUCCGUGAAGAUGCGGAGUUCCCGUGGUUAGACGGAAAGACCCCGUGCACCUUUACUACAACUUUAUAUUGGUGUUAGGAAUGAUAUGUUUAGCAUAGGAGGGAGACUUUGAUGUUUUGGCGUCAGCUAAAGCGGAGUCACCAGUGAAAUACCUCUCUUAUUAUUCUUGACAUCUAACUGCAUGCCGUAAUCCGGCUGCAAGACAUUGUAUGGUGGGUAGUUUGACUGGGGCGGUCGCCUCCCAAAAAGUAACGGAGGCGUGCGAAGGUAGGCUCAGAACGGUCAGAAAUCGUUCGUAGAGUGCAAUGGCAUAAGCCUGCCUGACUGCGAGACUGACAAGUCGAGCAGAGUCGAAAGACGGUCAUAGUGAUCCGGUGGUUCUGAGUGGAAGGGCCAUCGCUCAACGGAUAAAA
rnacentral:rRNA from 1 species